rfam:Brachypodium distachyon strain Bd21 chromosome 2, whole genome shotgun sequence.
ACUAUACUCCCUCCAUCCCAUAUUAAGUGACUCAAAUUUAUACAAAUAUGUAUGUAUGUAUGCCUAAAAAACGCUUAGAUACAUGUAAUAAAAAGUCACUUAAUAUGGGACGGAGGGAGUACUUA